UAGGGAAUCUUCGGCAAUGGACGAAAGUCUGACCGAGCAACGCUGCGUGAGUGAAGAAGGUUUUCGGAUCGUAAAACUCUGUUGUUAGAGAAGAACAAGGACGUUAGUAACUGAACGUCCCCUGACGGUAUCUAACCAGAAAGCCACGGCUAACUACGUGCCAGCAGCCGCGGUAAUACGUAGGUGGCAAGCGUUGUCCGGAUUUAUUGGGCGUAAGGCGAGCGCAGGCGGUUUCUUAAGUCUGAUGUGAAAGCCCCCGGCUCAACCGGGGAGGGUCAUUGAAAACUGGGAGACUUGAGUGCAGAAGAGGAGAGUGGAAUUCCAUGUGUAGCGGUGAAAUGCGUAGAUAUAUGGAGGAACACCAGUGGCGAAGGCGGCUCUCUGGUCUGUAACUGACGCUGAGGCUCGAAAGCGUGGGGAGCAAACAGG
rnacentral:rRNA from 1 species